UGCGUAGGCGGGUUUCUAAGUCAGAGGUGAAAGCCUGGAGCUCAACUCCAGAACUGCCUUUGAUACUGGAAGUCUUGAGUUCGGGAGAGGUAAGUGGAACUGCGAGUGUAGAGGUGAAAUUCGUAGAUAUUCGCAAGAACACCAGUGGCGAAGGCGGCUCACUGGGCCAUUACUGACGCUGAGGCACGAAAGCGUGGGAGCAAACA
rnacentral:rRNA from 1 species